rnacentral:lncRNA from 1 species
GGUUUGAGGCUUAAUGUAAUCUGGGCUUGGAUUUGAACUUGUAAUACUGGACUGUAUUGGACUCUUAUCAUAUUUAUCAUUUUUUUGUUUUUCUGCUUAUUUUGAAUGGGCCCCGGGCAAAUUGGGCCUAUUACAAAUACCACUGAGUUUUACUCAGCGUACGGUUUUAUUUCUCAUGCGCAGGUUAGGUACUUAACUUUUAAUCGCCGAUUUAG